rnacentral:rRNA from 1 species
UAGGGAAUCUUCCGCAAUGGACGCAAGUNUGACGGAGCAACGCCGCGUGAGUGAAGAAGGUUUUCGGAUCGUAAAACUCUGUUGUUAGAGAAGAACAAGUGCUAGAGUAACUGUNAGCGCCUUGACGGUAUCUAACCAGAAAGCCACGGCUAACUACGUGCCAGCAGCCGCGGUAAUACGUAGGUGGCAAGCGUUGUCCGGAUUUAUUGGGCGUAAAGCGAGCGCAGGCGGUUCCUUAAGUCUGAUGUGAAAGCCCCCGGCUCAACCGGGGAGGGUCAUUGGAAACUGGGGAACUUGAGUGCAGAAGAGGAGAGUGGAAUUCCAUGUGUAGCGGUGAAAUGCGUAGAUAUAUGGAGGAACACCAGUGGCGAAGGCGACUCUCUGGUCUGUAACUGACGCUGAGGCUCGAAAGCGUGGGUAGCAAACAGGAUUAGAUACCCUGGUAGUCCACGCCGUAAACGAUGAGUGCUAAGUGUUGGAGGGUUUCCGCCCUUCAGUGCUGCAGUUAACGCAUUAAGCACUCCGCCUGGGGAGUACGACCGCAAGGUUG